rnacentral:rRNA from 1 species
GACGAACGCGGCGGCGUGCCUAAUACAUGCAAGUAGAACGCUGAAGCUUGGUGCUUGCACCGAGCGGAUGAGUUGCGAACGGGUGAGUAACGCGUAGGUAACCUGCCUGGUAGCGGGGGAUAACUAUUGGAAACGAUAGCUAAUACCGCAUAAAAUGGAUUAUCGCAUGAUAAUUCAUUGAAAGGUGCAAAUGCAUCACUACCAGAUGGACCUGCGUUGUAUUAGCUAGUUGGUGGGGUAACGGCUCACCAAGGCGACGAUACAUAGCCGACCUGAGAGGGUGAUCGGCCACACUGGGACUGAGACACGGCCCAGACUCCUACGGGAGGCAGCAGUAGGGAAUCUUCGGCAAUGGACGGAAGUCUGACCGAGCAACGCCGCGUGAGUGAAGAAGGUUUUCGGAUCGUAAAGCUCUGUUGUAAGAGAAAGAAACGAGUGUGAGAAGUGGAAAAGUUCAC